rnacentral:lncRNA from 1 species
CAUUUUGAAGCUAAGAGAUAGAUCUAAAUUCGGUAUAAAGACAUCAAAGUCCAAUUCAGCCGUUUUCAUAGUGCAAAAGUUGAAAUACCGAAAUUCAACUCAGCUGUCCAAAGUGGAAAACAGAGCUCCGACCAGUCUAUAGUAUUUCGGUCAUAUCUCAAGGUAAAAAGCUCCAAUUUGGAUGAUUCUUGAAGCAUUGGAACGCUAACUCAAAGGGCUACAACUUUGGUGUUUUGCACAAAAUCCAGUUCGGCCUGCAUCAUGGAGAAAAUUGCAGUUGAAGUAA